rnacentral:rRNA from 1 species
GAUUGAACGCUGGCGGCAUGCCUAACACAUGCAAGUCGAACGGGAGUAGCAAUACUCUAGUGGCGGACGGGUGAGGAAUACGUAGGAAUUUGCCCUUAAGUGGGGGAUAACCCGGGGAAACCCGGAUUAAUACCGCAUGACCUCGAAAGAGCAAAGUGGGGGAUCGCAAGACCUCACGCUUUUGGAGAAGCCUACGUCGGAUUAGCUAGUUGGUGAGGUAAUGGCUCACCAAGGCGACGAUCCGUAACUGGUCUGAGAGGAUGAUCAGUCACACCGGAACUGAGACACGGUCCGGACUCCUACGGGAGGCAGCAGUGGGGAAUAUUGGACAAUGGGCGCAAGCCUGAUCCAGCAAUGCCGCGUGUGUGAAGAAGGCCUUCGGUU